GGGAGCCCUAGCACAGGUGCUGCAUGGCCGUCGUCAGCUCGUGCCGUGAGGUGUUGGGCUAAGUCCCGCAACGAGCGCAACCCCCGCCGUUAGUUGCCAGCGGUUCGGCCGGGCACUCUAACGGGACUGCCCGCGAAAGCGGGAGGAAGGAGGGGACGACGUCUGGUCAGCAUGGCCCUUACGGCCUGGGCGACACACGUGCUACAAUGCCCACUACAAAGCGAUGCCACCCGGCAACGGGGAGCUAAUCGCAAAAAGGUGGGCCCAGUUCGGAUUGGGGUCUGCAACCCGACCCCAUGAAGCCGGAAUCGCUAGUAAUCGCGGAUCAGCCAUGCCGCGGUGAAUACGUUCCCGGGCCUU
rnacentral:rRNA from 1 species